rnacentral:rRNA from 1 species
AUAUGGAGGAUGCAAGCGUUAUCCGGAUUUAUUGGGUUUAAAGGGUGCGUAGGCGGUUUGCUAAGCGGGAGGUGAAAUGCCGGCGCUCAACGUCGGAAGUGCCUCCCGAACUGGUGGACUUGAAUGACUCUGCCGUGGGAGGAAUGUGUAGUGUAGCGGUGAAAUGCUUAGAGAUUACACAGAACACCGAUUGCGAAGGCAUCUCACGAAGGGUUGAUUGACGCUGAGGCACGAAAGCGUGGGGAUCAAACAGGAUUAGAUACCCUGGUAGUCCACGCAGUAAACGAUGAUGGCUAACCGCUGGGCUUAUCAGUUCAGUGGCCAAGCGAAAGCGAUAAGCCAUCCACCUGGGGAGUACGACCGCAAGGUUGAAACUCAAAUGAAUUGACGGGG